GAGUAGUGAGGUGACCACACAACGAACUAUUCUUUUGCCUUUUACUAAAGAUACCGUGUGCUCGCCGCUCCAAGUGGCAUGCGGCUAUUUUUUUUAGGAGUCCUCUCGUUUGAGCCG